GUGGGUAUAGCUCAGUGGUAGAGAACGCACUUAGCACGCAUGAGGUCCUGGGUUCAAUCCCCAGUACCUCCA
rnacentral:tRNA from 1 species